rnacentral:rRNA from 1 species
CACGUAGGGGGCGAGCGUCGUCCGGAUUUAUUGGGCGUAAAGAGCUCGUAGGCGGCUCAGUAAGUCAGGUGUGAAAACUCCAGGCUCAACCUGGAGACGCCACCUGAUACUGCUGUGGCUAGAGUCCGGUAGGGGAGCAUGGAAUUCCUGGUGUAGCGGUGAAAUGCGCAGAUAUCAGGAGGAACACCGAUGGCGAAGGCAGGUCUCUGGGCCACUACUGACGCUGAGAAGCGAAAGCAUGGGGAGCGAACAGG